AUUGAACGCUGGCGGCAGGCCUAACACAUGCAAGUCGAACGGUAACAGGAAGAAGCUUGCUUCUUUGCUGACGCGUGGCGGACGGGUGAGUAAUGUCUGGGAAACUGCCUGAUGGAGGGGGAUAACUACUGGAAACGGUAGUUAAUACCGCAUAACGUCGCAAGACCAAAGAGGGGGAGCUUCGGGCCUCUUGCCAUCGGAUGUGCCCAGAUGGGAUUAGCUAGUAGGUGGGGUAACGGCUCACCUAGGCGACGAUCCCUAGCUGGUCUGAGAGGAUGACAGGCCACCCUGGAACUGAGACACGGUCCAGACUCCUACGGGAGGCAGCAGUGGGGAAUAUUGCACAAUGGGCGCAAGCCUGAUGCAGCCAUGCCGCGUGUAUGAAGAAGGCCUUCGGGUUGUAAAGUACUUUCAGCGGGGAUGAAGGGAGUAAAGUUAAGACCUAUACUCAUUGACGUUACCCGCAGAAGAAGCACCGGCUAACUCCGUG
rnacentral:rRNA from 1 species